rnacentral:rRNA from 1 species
GAUGAACGCUGGCGGCGUGCCUAAUACAUGCAAGUCGAGCGAACAGACGAGGAGCUUGCUCCUCUGACGUUAGCGGCGGACGGGUGAGUAACACGUGGAUAACCUACCUAUAAGACUGGGAUAACUUCGGGAAACCGGAGCUAAUACCGGAUAACAUGUUGAACCACAUGGUUCAACAGUGAAAGACGGUCUUGCUGUCACUUAUAGAUGGAUCCGCGCCGCAUUAGCUAGUUGGUAAGUAACGGCUUACCAAGGCAACGAUGCGUAGCCGACCUGAGAGGUGAUCGGCCACACUGGGAACUGAGACACGGUCCAGACUCCUACGGGAGCAGCAGUAGGAAUCUCGCAAUGGGCAAGCCUGACGGAGCAACGCCGCGUGAGU